GAGUAACACGUGGGCAACCUGCCUCAUAGAGGGGAAUAGCCUCCCGAAAGGGAGAUUAAUACCGCAUAAGAUUGUAGUACCGCAUGAUACAGCAAUUAAAGGAGCAAUCCGCUAUGAGAUGGGCCCGCGGCGCAUUAGCUAGUUGGUGAGGUAAUGGCUCACCAAGGCGACGAUGCGUAGCCGACCUGAGAGGGUGAUCGGCCACAUUGGGACUGAGACACGGCCCAGACUCCUACGGGAGGCAGCAGUGGGGAAUAUUGCACAAUGGGGGAAACCCUGAUGCAGCAACGCCGCGUGAGUGAUGACGGCCUUCGGGUUGUAAAGCUCUGUCUUCAGGGACGAUAA
rnacentral:rRNA from 1 species